rnacentral:snRNA from 1 species
GUGCUCGCUUCAGCAGCACAUAUACUAAAAUUGGAACGAUACAGAGAAGAUUAGCAUGGCCCCUGCUCAAGGAUGACACGCAAAUUCGUGAAGCAUUCCAUAGUUUU